CUACUAGCAAACAAAGAAAAUGUAGAUCUGAACCCUAAGAAUAAGUGUCAUUUAGUUCUUUCAUUUAUCAAAAAAAGUCUCUUCAGUAAGCAUCCACCUAGCAGAUUUGUUUCCAAUCCUUCAACAGCAGAGGAGAUUUAAGAAAUCUGUAAAAGUUUUUCUGGAGAGAAGAUCACUGCCCCUUAGUGUCAUUGGAUGUCCUCUGUGUUGAACCAUAUGCAGGUCUGCAUCGCCCUGUGCUGGAGUGCCAGGGGAAAGCACAGCUCCAGAAUUCCCACCAGAGAACCCCUCCAUCUCCAAGAAAACCUUCCAAAAAUGCAUCCAUGAGCAGAGGACAAUCUGAGGACACUCUUGACUUGUUUUAUCCUCCUCAUCUCCCUGAGAGGUUGCCCUGAGCCCACACUCACAUAAUUCUUUCACUACACGAGAGGGAAAAAGAAACUCUUACUGCACAAUAAUUUAUAAUAAAUCACUCAUGAACCCAUCAACUUAAUCUUCAUUGCAAUCUAUUGCUACAAAGAUUUCUAUAGUCUGACAGAAGACUUACUGAGUAUAAAAAUUUGCCUCAGGGGCUCAGUGUAAUCAGAGAGGGACAGAAUAAAAACACAAUGUGCUUGUUACUACUGCUGUAUAAAAACACAUGAGGAACUUUUAAUAAUGGGGAACUCAUGGGAAAAGAUGGAUUCCUCUUACUCACUUUUCCCAGGACAGCAAAACCUUGCCACAUUCAAUUCAUUUUUACAGGGACAUUCCCACUGAUUUGGGGGAGACAUCUGGUUUGGGCUGUGGAAAGUUUGUAUUCCUCAACACCUGAUUUUUGCAAUUCCGGGAGAAUU